rnacentral:rRNA from 1 species
UACGUAGGGGGCAAGCGUUGUCCGGAUUUAUUGGGCGUAAAGAGCGUGUAGGCGGCCAGGUAGGUCCGUUGUGAAAACUCGAGGCUCAACCUCGAGACGCCGAUGGAAACCAUCUGGCUAGAGUCCGGAAGAGGAGAGUGGAAUUCCCGGUGUAGCGGUGAAAUGCGUAGAUAUCAGGAGGAACACCUGUGGCGAAAGCGGCGCACUGGACCACAACUGACGCUGAGGCGCGAAAGCUAGGGGAGCAAACAGG